CUGCGUGACCCUGUGCCCAUCACUGUCCCUGAGCUGGAGUCCUGGCUGGUCUCUGCCUGCAUUGGUCACCUGUGGGAACCCAGCAAACAUCCCUUCUGGCAGCAGCAGGUUCCUGCAGCUUUAUCUUGGCUCAGCAGGCCAGCCCAGGCUGCCCCCCGCGCCUUUCUCUCAGCAGCUCUGUGGUGAAGCUGCCAACUUGGAUGAUGUCCAGGGGCUAGGCGUCCCUUGAAGAGGCCUCCCCAGCAAGCCUCAGCCUGCAGGCAUCUGUGAGGGAAAAAGGGCUCAGUGGGCAAGAGGUGAUUAUAAGGGAGCCAACGUAGUGGCUGGCAUUUCAGCGAGGAUCCCAAGGCAACAGCACCAGAAUCACAAGUCAGGACGGAUCCCAGAUCCCAGCAGCGCCGAGCCCAUGCAGAUGGAGCAGCCUUGCUAGGAACGAGUCGUUUCCAGCUAACACGCUUCCCGUUUUGGAGACAGUUCUGGGUGUAGAAGUUGAGAGAAAACCUCCCAGGGAAGGAUCCUGUCAGAGAGGAGGGCCGUGGCCACCCCAGGCUGGGUCUUGCCAUCUUGUCCUUUCCCUGGGGAUUCUCUUGCUUUGAAUUUUGCUGCCACCAUCUAGAGAGGAAAAGGAGAGAAAAAAGAAAGGCAAUAAGAAAUGAAUUUUAAAAAGGGUUGGCCUCUGGAGGUUUUUAUUUUUGACUUGUACUCAAAGUGAGGAUGAUGGAUCAAAUCUUUCAAAACCUGGGCGAGUUCCUCUCCUGAGCUGUGCUGGUGCCUUAUUUCUGGUGCUGGUCGUGGUAGGAUCCACAGUCAUCACAUGGAGUGCAUUCUAGUGGACAGGGACCAGCAACAUUGUGUGUGUACGCACAUGUGUGUGUGGGGGACAGACAGACACAGAGGCAGAGACAGGUAGAGAGAAUGUCCCAGCCAUGCAGCGUCCACCUCAGCGCACGGCAGGAGAGUGCAUGCCUGCAGCGAGGCAGCACAGACAUGGACAGGCAUAGGCACGCUCGGGACCAGCUGGCUUCAUCUCUGUCAUGCGUCUGAUAGGUGUGACUUGCAUGAUGCCAAGUGUGGGUCCAACGUAGAGACAUCCAUACCACAGCCUCUACACAAAAGGCAGCUACUCCAUUUGAUGUCUGCUCAACGAUUCCAGGAAACAUUGGCUGCACUGUUGACUGCGGUGGUCUGAGGUUGAUAUGGUUUGGCUCUGUGUCCCCACACAAAUCUCACCUUGGAUUGUAAUAAUCCCCUCGUGUCAGAGUGGGACCAGGUGGAGGUAAUUCAAUCAUGGUGAUGGUUCCCCCAUGCUGUUUUCGUGAUAGUGAGUGAGUUCUCACGAGAUCUGAUGGUUUUAUAAGCGUCUGGCAUUUUCCCUGCUGGCUCUUAUCCUCUCUCCUGCUGUCCUGUGAAGAGGUGCCUUCCUCCAUGAUUAUAAGUUUCCUGAGGUCUCCCAGCCAUGUGGAACUGUGAGUCAAUUAAACCUCUUUUCUUUACAAAUUA
rnacentral:lncRNA from 10 species